CCUACGGGGGGCAGCAGUGAGGAAUAUUGGUCAAUGGACGAGAGUCUGAACCAGCCAAGUAGCGUGAAGGAUGACUGCCCUAUGGGUUGUAAACUUCUUUUAUAAAGGAGUAAAACGAGGCACGUGUGCCGUUUUGCGUGUACUUGAUGAAUAAGGAUCGGCUAACUCCGUGCCAGCAGCCGCGGUAAUACGGAGGAUCCGAGCGUUAUCCGGAUUUAUUGUGUUUAAAGGGUGCGUAGGCGGGACGCAAAGUCAGCGGUAAAACUGAGGUGCUCAACGCCGUCGAGCCGUUGAAACUGGGUGUCUUGAGUGGGCGAGAAGUAUGUGGAAUGCGUGGUGUAGCGGUGAAAUGCAUAGAUAUCACGCAGAACUCCGAUUGCGAAGGCAGCAUACCGGCGCCCUACUGACGCUGAGGCACGAAAGCGUGGGUAUCGAACAGGAUUAGAUACCCGGGUAGUC
rnacentral:rRNA from 1 species